rnacentral:rRNA from 1 species
UACGGAGGGGGCUAGCGUUGUUCGGAAUUACUGGGCGUAAAGCGCGCGUAGGCGGACCUGCAAGUCGGGGGUGAAAGCCCGAGGCUCAACCUCGGAACUGCCUUCGAUACUGCGGGUCUCGAGUCCGGGAGGGGUGAGUGGAAUUCCUAGUGUAGAGGUGAAAUUCGUAGAUAUUAGGAAGAACACCAGUGGCGAAGGCGGCUCACUGGCCCGGUACUGACGCUGAGGCGUGAAAGCGUGGGGAGCAAACAGG